UGUCAUAAGACCGUCUCCUCC
rnacentral:piRNA from 1 species